AUUGAACGCUGGCGGCAUGCCUUACACAUGCAAGUCGAACGGCAGCAUGAUCUAGCUUGCUAGAUUGAUGGCGAGUGGCGAACGGGUGAGUAAUACAUCGGAACGUGCCCUGUAGUGGGGGAUAACUAGUCGAGAGAUUAGCUAAUACCGCAUACGACCUGAGGGUGAAAGUGGGGGACCGCAAGGCCUCAUGCUAUAGGAGCGGCCGAUGUCUGAUUAACUAGUUGGUGAGGUAAAGGCUCACCAAGGCGACGAUCAGUAGCUGGUCUGAGAGGACGAUCAGCCACACUGGGACUGAGACACGGCCCAGACUCCUACGGGAGGCAGCAGUGGGGAAUUUUGGACAAUGGGCGAAAGCCUGAUCCAGCAAUGCCGCGUGUGUGAAGAAGGCCUUCGGGUUGUAAGCACUUUUGUCCGGAAAGAAAUGGCUCUGGUUAAUACCUGGGGUCGAUGACGGUACCGGAAGAAUAAGGACCGGCUAACUACGUGCCAGCAGCCGCCGUAA
rnacentral:rRNA from 1 species